rnacentral:tmRNA from 1 species
GGGGGCGACACGGCAUUCGACGUGGGUUGCGAAACCUGAGGUGCAUGCCGAGGUGCAGUUACCUCGAAAACCACUGCAAACUUAUAGUUGCAAACGACGACAACUACGCACUCGCUGCUUAAUACCCAGUAGGGUGCCGUCUGACUGGAGCCGUGCUUGUGCGUCCAGCGUCCUUCGGGACACUCAGGCGUCAUAUCUCACAAGAUCGUGAUGACGGGCGUCCGGACCUGAUUUGCUAAAUCCUAACGGAAUCGCUGAACCACGCGCCCUGUCAGUCGGGCAGUGCUCAGUUAAAGAUAAUUGACAUGACUAAGCAUGUAGAGCCGAUGGCAGAGGGCUUGCGGACGCGGGUUCAACUCCCGCCGCCUCCACCA